rnacentral:rRNA from 1 species
GGUGAACGCUGGCGGCGUGCCUAAGACAUGCAAGUCGAGCGGGCCGCGGGGUUUUACUCCGUGGUCAGCGGCGGACGGGUGAGUAACGCGUGGGUGACCUACCCGGAAGAGGGGGACAACCCGGGGAAACUCGGGCUAAUCCCCCAUGUGGACCCGCCCCUUGGGGUGUGUCCAAAGGGCUUUGCCCGCUUCCGGAUGGGCCCGCGUCCCAUCAGCUAGUUGGUGGGGUAAUGGCCCACCAAGGCGACGACGGGUAGCCGGCCUGAGAGGGUGGCCGGCCACAGGGGCACUGAGACACGGGCCCCACGCCUACGGGAGGCAGCAGUUAGGAAUCUUCCGCAAUGGGCGCAAGCCUGACGGAGCGACGCCGCUUGGAGGAAGAAGCCCUUCGGGGUGUAAACUCCUGAACCCGGGACGAAACCCCCGACGAGGGGACUGACGGUACCGGGGUAAUAGCGCCGGCCAACUCCGUG